CCACACGACUCUCGGCAACGGAUAUCUCGGCUCUCGCAUCGAUGAAGAACGUAGCGAAAUGCGAUACCUGGUGUGAAUUGCAGAAUCCCGCGAACCAUCGAGUCUUUGAACGCAAGUUGCGCCCGAGGCCACUUGGCCGAGGGCACGCCUGCCUG
rnacentral:rRNA from 1 species